rnacentral:rRNA from 1 species
CUACAGGCUUAACACAUGCAAGUCGAGGGGAAACGACAUCGAAAGCUUGCUUUUGAUGGGCGUCGACCGGCGCACGGGUGAGUAACGCGUAUCCAACCUGCCCACCACUUGGGGAUAACCUUGCGAAAGUAAGACUAAUACCCAAUGAUAUCUCUAGAAGGCAUCUGAAAGAGAUUAAAGAUUUAUCGGUGAUGGAUGGGGAUGCGUCUGAUUAGCUUGUUGGCGGGGUAACGGCCCACCAAGGCAACGAUCAGUAGGGGUUCUGAGAGGAAGGUCCCCCACAUUGGAACUGAGACACGGUCCAAACUCCUACGGGAGGCAGCAGUGAGGAAUAUUGGUCAAUGGACGAGAGUCUGAACCAGCCAAGUAGCGUGCAGGAUGACGGCCCUAUGGGUUGUAAACUGCUUUUAUAAGGGAAUAAAGUGAGAGUCGUGACUCUUUUUGCAUGUACCUUAUGAAUAAGGACCGGCUAAUUCCGUGCCAGCAGCCGCGGUAAUACGGAAGGUCCGGGCGUUAUCCGGAUUUAUUGGGUUUAAAGGGAGCGUAGGCCGGAGAUUAAGCGUGUUGUGAAAUGUAGAUGCUCAACGUCUGCACUGCAGCGCGAACUGGUUUCCUUGAGUACGCACAAAGUGGGCGGAAUUCGUGGUGUAGCGGUGAAAUGCUUAGAUAUCACGAAGAACUCCGAUUGCGAAGGCAGCUCACUGGAGCGCAACUGACGCUGAAGCUCGAAAGUGCGGGUAUCGAACAGGAUUAGAUACCCUGGUAGUCCGCACGGUAAACGAUGGAUGCCCGCUGUUGGUCUGAAUAGGUCAGCGGCCAAGCGAAAGCAUUAAGCAUCCCACCUGGGGAGUACGCCGGCAACGGUGAAACUCAAAGGAAUUGACGGGGGCCCGCACAAGCGGAGGAACAUGUGGUUUAAUUCGAUGAUACGCGAGGAACCUUACCCGGGCUUGAAUUGCAGAGGAAGGAUUUGGAGACAAUGACGCCCUUCGGGGUCUCUGUGAAGGUGCUGCAUGGUUGUCGUCAGCUCGUGCCGUGAGGUGUCGGCUUAAGUGCCAUAAUGAGCGCAACCCCUCUCCUUAGUUGCCAUCAGGUUAAGCUGGGCACUCUGGGGACACUGCCACCGUAAGGUGUGAGGAAGGUGGGGAUGA